rnacentral:rRNA from 1 species
AUUGAACGCUGGCGGCAUGCCUUACACAUGCAAGUCGAACGGCAGCACGGGAGCAAUCCUGGUGGCGAGUGGCGAACGGGUGAGUAAAGUAUCGGAACGUGCCCAGUCGUGGGGGAUAACGUAGCGAAAGUUACGCUAAUACCGCAUACGAUCUAUGGAUGAAAGCGGGGGAUCGCAAGACCUCGCGCGAUUGGAGCGGCCGAUAUCAGAUUAGGUAGUUGGUGGGGUAAAGGCUCACCAAGCCGACGAUCUGUAGCUGGUCUGAGAGGACGGCCAGCCACACUGGGACUGAGACACGGCCCAGACUCCUACGGGAGGCAGCAGUGGGGAAUUUUGGACAAUGGGCGAAAGCCUGAUCCAGCCAUGCCGCGUGCAGGAUGAAGGCCUUCUGGUUGUAAACUGCUUUUGUACGGAACGAAAAGGUUUGGGUUAAUAAGCUGAGCUCAUGACGGUACCGUAAGAAUAAGCACCGGCUAACUACGUGCCAGCCGCCGCGGUAA